rnacentral:rRNA from 1 species
GAGUUUGAUCCUGGCUCAGAACGAACGCUGGCGGCAGGCUUAACACAUGCAAGUUGAACGGGAUUGUGGGUGUAGCAAUAUGCCUACAUGAGAGUAGCGCACUGGUGAGUAACACGUGGGAACAUGCCUUGAAGUGGGGAAUAACGUUUGGAAACGAACGGUAAUACCGCAUAUACCCUGAGGGGGAAAGAUUUAUCGCUUUAAGAGUGGCCCGCGGAAGAUUAGGUAGUUGGUGGGGUAAAGGCCUACCAAGCCGACGAUCUAUAGCUGGUCUGAGAGGACGAUCAGCCACACUGGAACUGAGACACGGUCCAGACUCCUACGGGAGGCAGCAGUGAGGAAUAUUGGGCAAUGGAGGAAACUCUGACCCAGCCAUGCCGCGUGAGUGAAGAAGGUUUUCGGAUUGUAAAGCUCUGUUGAGGGGGAAGAUAAUGACGGUACCCCUCGAGGAAGCCACGGCUAACUACGUGCCAGCAGCCGCGGUAAUACGUAGGUGGCAAGCGUUGUCCGGAAUUACUGGGCGUAAAGGGUGCGCAGGCGGGACUACAAGUCAGGCGUGAAAGGCGGGGGCUCAACCCCCGGACCGCGCUUGAAACUGUAGUUCUUGAGUGGAGAAGAGGCAGGCGGAAUUCCGAGUGUAGCGGUGA